rnacentral:rRNA from 1 species
GCGCGAGCAGGUGCGAAAGCAGGUCAUAGUGAUCCGGUGGUUCUGAAUGGAAGGGCCAUCGCUCAACGGAUAAAAGGUACUCCGGGGAUAACAGGCUGAUACCGCCCAAGAGUUCAUAUCGACGGCGGUGUUUGGCACCUCGAUGUCGGCUCAUCACAUCCUGGGGCUGAAGUAGGUCCCAAGGGUAUGGCUGUUCGCCAUUUAAAGUGGUACGCGAGCUGGGUUUAGAACGUCGUGAGACAGUUCGGUCCCUAUCUGCCGUGGGCGCUGGAGAACUGAGGGGGGCUGCUCCUAGUACGAGAGGACCGGAGUGGACGCAUCACUGGUGUUCGGGUUGUCAUGCCAAUGGCACUGCCCGGUAGCUAAAUGCGGAAGAGAUAAGUGCUGAAAGCAUCUAAGCACGAAACUUGCCCCGAGAUGAGUUCUCCCUGACUCCUUGAGAGUCCUGAAGGAACGUUGAAGACGACGACGUUGAUAGGCCGGGUGUGUAAGCGCAGCGAUGCGUUGAGCUAACCGGUACUAAUGAACCGUGAGG